ensembl:lncRNA novel transcript
GCAGGCGUGAGCCACCGUGCCCGGCCGAGUUGAAGUACUUUUUCUGGAACAAAGAAACUUAGCAUAAAUAGUUAAAAUAGUAAGAAUUGUAAUUAAGGGAAAUUUCAGCUCAAUAUGACUUCAACAGUUUUAAAAAUGUAUUAUUUCACAUAAGACCAUGGAGAGAGGAAUUGGAAGCCCCAGAAUUGAUUGGGUCAGAAAUUGAAAAUGAUAUUAUCAGUGACCCAGGUUUGAAUGUCUCUCCCCACAGCAUUGACUUCACUAAUGGAUGUGACCUGGUUGGCAGCAGCAGCUUGCACAACAUGCUUGUUUGCAGUGAGUAGUAGAGAGAAGGUUUUGCUUUCCCAGAAACUCUGAAAAAGGUCAUCAAACCUAAAUUUCCUUAGCCUUUUUCUUCCAUGAGCAAAUCACUAGCAGAUGACUGCUAGCAAGGUGUUACUAUUACAAUGAACCCCUAAGUGUCAGAGAAAGAGUUAGUUUGGGGAAAUAUCCUCUCCACCACAAUCUUAGUCAUUGAAGUCAAUUUAACAAUAUAUUGAAAUAUUUUUCUUAGAAGUUUAAAGUUCCAUUAAAGAGUAGCAAUUACAGAAAUUAUAGGUAGCCUUUAGUUCUACAAGUGACAUUUCAAAAGGGAGAUGAUUCAUCAAUUUCAAACUUUGCCUGCAAAUAAUACUGGAUGAAAAUUAACUUGGCAAACAUAAUUAAUAAUCAUGGGUUAUUAAUUACUUCUGCAAGGUGGGUGUGCUGAUUUUAAAAGGCUUGAAUAAAACAUAAAUUUCCUUAAUUUAUACUGUAAAUGGAGUAAUUUGGUGAUGUAAAUGGUAAUAUGUAAGUGACUUCUGCUUCAGAUCUUACAACUUAAAAUAUUUUUCUAAAAUUAGUUUUUGUACCAUCUCUCCAGCAUGUUCCAGCCUUUAUCAGUCAGUCCAGGCUUCUAUAACAAAAUAUCAUGGACUGAAUUGCUUACACAACAGACAUUUCUCACAAUUGUAGAAGCUGGAAAGUGCAAGAUUAAGGUGCUAGCAAAUUUGUUUCCUGGUGAGGGUCCUCUUCCCGGCUUGCUGUAUCCUCACAUAGCAGAUAGAGAGAGAAAGAGAGAGAGAGAGAGCACUCUAUAGACUCUCUUCCUGUUCUUCUAAGGACACUAAUUCCAUUGAUGAGGGCCCUACGCUCAUGACUUAGUCUAAACCUAAUUAAUUCUCAAAGGCCUCACUUCCCAACACUGUCACAUUGUGGGGUAGGGCUUUAACAUAUGAAAUUUGAGGGAAAAGGAAUGUUCAGUCUAGAACAAAGCCCCAUACAUUUCAAAAAGCUGUGGGACAGGAGGGAAUGGGGAUGGUAUUCAAUGGUACCACAUCCAAGCAAGUCUUGUAUGGUUAAAACAAAUCAAUAUAAUAACAUGAAAUUUUACACAGAAACCUAUCUGAUUAUAAACUGUAUGCUUACCAUAAUCAACACUGAUGUACAUUGUUUUAAAAAUACUUAAUAGUGUUCUUUGUUUAACCAAAUAAUAGAGGUAUUAACUAGUUUCCUAGUGCUGCCAAAAGAAAUUGCUACAAAAUUUGUGGCUUAAAAUAGUAAAAAAAAAAAAAAAA